GCGGCGAAGGGAGAGUAACGCGUAGAUAUCUACCUCGAGGCCCGGGAUAGCGGCGGGAAACUGCCGGUAAUACCGGAUAACAUCUCCGGAUCAAAGGUGUGAUUCCGCCUCGAGAUGAGUCUGCGUCCUAUUAAUGCUUGUUGGUGUGGUAACGGCGCACCAAGGCGAAGAUGGGUACCGGGUGUGAGAGCAUGGCCCGGCUCACUGGGACUGAGACACUGCCCAGACACCUACGGGUGGCUGCAGUCGAGAAUCUUCGGCAAUGGGCGAAAGCCUGACCGAGCGACGCCGCGUGCGGGAUGAAGGCCCUCGGGUUGUAAACCGCGGUCAGUAGGGAGCAAAUCUCUUGGGGUUAUCCCCUUGAGUUGAGCGAUCUUCAGAGGAAGUACGGGCUAAGUUCGUGCCAGCAGCCGCGGUAAGACGAACCGUACGAACGUUAUUCGGAAUCACUGGGCUUAAAGAGUCCGUAGGCGGCCGUGUAGGUGGGAUGUGAAAGCCCUCGUCUCAACCGAGGAAUUGCGUUCCAAACCACAUGGCUUGAGGAGGAUAGAGGUGAGCGGAACUGAUGGUGGAGCGGGUGAAAUGCGUUGAUAUCAUCAGGAACACCAGAGGCGAAGGCGGCUCACUGGGUCCUUUCUGACGCUGAGGGACGAAAGCUAUGGGAGCAAACGGGAUUAGAUACCCCGGUAGUCCUAGCUGUAACGAUGAGCACUAGAUCGAGGGGACUUCCACAUCU
rnacentral:rRNA from 1 species